rnacentral:lncRNA from 1 species
GAACCUUUGGGUGGUUGCCCAGAAGCAGUCAGCACUGAGGCGAGCUAACCUCACAUCUAAUGGUGAAAGACAAUGCUGUCCCUGUGAGAUCAGGAAGAAGGCAAGGAUGUCCACUCACCGCUUACUCAACUGAGCACUGGAAAUUCUAGCCAGGGCUAUAAGGGUCUCUCUCUGUCACCUAGGCUGGAGUGCAGUGCUCUGAUCAUGGCUCACUGCAACUUUGACCACUUGGGCUCAAGGGAUCCUCAUACCUCAUCUUCCCUAGUAGCUGGGACUACAGCUCCGUUACACUAUACCUGGCUAAUUUUUAAUUUUUUUAUAGAGGCAGGGUCUUGCUAUGUUGCCUAGGCUAGUCUUGAACUUUUGGCCCCAAGUGAUCCUUCUGCCUCAGCCUCCCAAAGUGCUGGGAUUACAGGCAUGAGCCACCAAGCCCUGCCAGGAUCGCAUGUUUACUAGUACAUAAUUCUGAUCAAAGAAAUAAAAGAAGAUCUAAAUACAUGGAGAAAUAUAUUUUGUUCAUUUACUGGAAGGCUCAACAUAGUAAAGAUGUCAUUUUCCCCUAAAUUGAUGCACUAGUUUAACCCAAUUCCUAUCAAAAUCUCAGCAAGAUUUUUUUUUUGUAAAUAUGAACAAGACUAUUCUAAAAUUUAUUUGGAAAGACAAGAGGACUUGAAUAGCUAAAACAAAUUUGAAAAAGAAGAAUAAAGUGGAAGGAGUCAAUCUAUAUGAUUUCAAGACUUAUUAUAUCGCUGUCAUGAUCAACAUUGUGUUGCAGUGGUGAAGGAAAGACAUACAGAUCGAUAACCCAGACACAGACUUGCACAAAUAUGCCCAACGGAUUUGGCAAAUGUACAAAAGCAAUUCAAUGGGUAAAAGAUAGCCUUUCAGCAAAUGGUGCCAGAGCAAUUAGCCAUUCAUAAGGCAAACAAGUUGAACCUUGAACAAAAUCUCACACCUUAUGCAAAAAUUAGCUAAAAAUGGAUCAUGAACCUAGAUGUAAACUAUGAAACUUAGGAAAAAACCUAGGACAAAAGCUUUGAGAUAUAGGGCCAGGCAAAGAGCUCUUAGACUUUGUUUCAAGAAGCAUAAUCCAUAAAAGGAAAAAUGGACUAGUUGGGCUUCAUCAAAAUAAAAACUUUUUCUCAGCAAAAGACCCAGUUAAGAAGCUGAAAAUAUAAAUUACAGAGUGGGAAAGAAUAUUUGCAAACCACGUAUUUGACAAAGGAGUAGUAUCUAGAAUAUAUAAAGAAUGCUCAAAAUUCAAUAGUAAAAAAGCAAGUCAUUCAACUAGAACAUGGCAUGAAUGAGUGAAAAGGCAUGAACAGACAUUUCCCCAAGGAAGAUAUACAGAUGGCAAAUAAACACAUGAAAAGAUGUUCAAUUUGGCUAUCCAUCAGGGGAAUGCAAAUUAAAAUCAUAAUAAGAUAUUCUUAAAUAUCUGUCAGGAUGGCUAAAAUAGGGAAAAAUUGACUAUAACAAAAGCUGGUGAGAAGGUGUCCAAACAGAAUUCCUCAUACACUGCUGGAGGGAAUAUAAAAUAUUAUAGCCAUUGUAGAAAAUAUGUUAGUAGUUUCUUAAAAAAAAAAAACUUUCAAUUACCAUAGGACCUGGCAAUUGCACUCCUGAGCAUUUAUCCCAGAGAAAUGAAUACUUGUGUUCACACAGAAACCUGCAUACGAAAGUUUAUAGCAGCUUUAUUUGUAAUAGAAACUGAAAACACCUAGACAUCCUUGAACAGUCUAUGGUUUAGCAAACUGUAGCACACCCAAACCAUGGAAUACUACUCAGCAAUAAAACUAUUGAUGUGCGUGGCAACCCGCAUGAAUUUCCAGAGAAUAUCAUGGAAUGAAGAAAGCCAGCCCCGAAAGAAACAAAGCAAGGAUGCUCACUCUCACCCCUUUUAUUCAGCUUAGUGCUGGAAAUUCUAGCCAGGGCUAUAAGGUAAGAAAAGGAAUGAAAAGACAUACAGAUUGGAAAGAAAUAAAUGUAGCUAUUCCUGUUUCCAAAUGAUAUCAUCUAUGUAGAAUAUUCCAAGGAAUCUAAAAAAAGUCUCCUAGAACUAGUAAAUGAGUUCAGCAAGGUUGAAGGACACAAAAGAAACAUCUGUACAAAACAUCUGUACAAAAGAAACAUGCUGUAUGAUUCCAUUUAUGUAAUUGUAUUAGUCUGUUUUCACACUGUUGUAAAGAAAUACUGGAGACUGGGUAAUUUGUAAAGGAAAGAGGUUUAAUUGACUUGCAGUUCCAUCUGGCUGGGGAAGCCUCAGGAAACUUACAAUCAUGAUGGAAAGUGAACGGGAAGCAAGCACCUUCUUCACAAGUCGGCAGGAGAGAGAAGAGAGCAUGUGAAGGAGGAACUGUCAAACACUUACAAAACCAUCAGAUCUCAUGAGCACUCACUCAGUAUCACUAGAGCAGCAUGGGGGAAACCACCUCCAUGAUCCAAUUACCUCCUACCAGGUCCCUCCCUCGACACGUGGGGAUUAUCAGGAUUACAAUUUGAGAUGAGAUUUGGGUGGGGACACAGAGCCAAACCGUAUCAGUAACAAAAUUCUAGAAAUGGAGAACAAAUCAGUGACUGCCAGGUGUUAAAGAGGGGUGGGCAGGGGCGAGAAGUGGGUGUGGCUAUGAAAGGGUUGCGGGAGGGACUCUGUGGAGGCAGAAUGUUCUGUAUCCUGGCUGUACCCAUGUCAAUAUCCUGUUUGUUAUAUCGCACUACAGUUCUGCAAGAUGCUACCACUGGGGGAAACUGAG